GUAUAACAGAUGAACAAGACGGUAUGUUAUAGAGCUUUAAAGAGAGCUAGUGUUUGGUGGAAACUAGUAAGCAAGUAAUAUACGAAUCACUUGGGAUGUUUUAUAUGGAUAAGAUAUAAACGAUAACGCGUUAUAGUUAAGAGUUAUAAAAAAAGGUGGUACCGCGAUUAAAUCGCCCUUUGU
rnacentral:ncRNA from 1 species